GAUUAACGCUAGCGGCAGGCCUAAUACAUGCAAGUCGAGGGGCAGCAGGGUGUAGCAAUACAUCGCUGGCGACCGGCGCACGGGUGCGUAACACGUAUGCAACCUACCUUUAACUGGGGAAUAGCCCUCCGAAAGGAGGAUUAACACCGCAUAACAUCACGAGACGGCAUCGCCUUGUGAUCAAACCUCCGGGGGUUAAAAUGGGCAUGCGUCCGAUUAGCUAGUUGGCGGGGUAACGGCCCACCAAGGCGACGAUCGGUAGGGGGUCUGAGAGGAUGAUCCCCCACACUGGGUACUGAGACACGGACCAGACUCCUACGGGAGGCAGCAGUAAGGAAUAUUGGACAAUGGUCGCAAGACUGAUCCAGCCAUGCCGCGUGCAGGAUGAACGAUCUAUGAUCUGUAAACUGCUUUUGUUCGGGAAUAAACCCCUU
rnacentral:rRNA from 1 species